rnacentral:lncRNA from 1 species
CAUCAGCUAACCUGAACUCGACCAGUACCUGGACCACUUCCUUGAGGUCUUGAAGGCAAAGAGUACCUGGACUCGUCAGGCUCACAGGACUGCUGGAUAAAAUAAUGAUUCUUCUCCUUGGCUUCCCACACUCCUAAGAAGAUUGUGUUUCCUUCGCAAAGACUGUUGAGGCCACUGAUGAUGAGCAGGACUUCUGCAAAGGCGUGCGAGUCGGCGAGG